UUUUUCGAGCCGAACAGUGUAUUAUAUAUAUGUUGUUGAUUUUUAUAGGCUAUGUAGCUGUGCCAUCGAUGUAAGCAAUUUCAUCGCUGAGUUUUACGUGCCUACGGCGGCGUUCCGAGUGUGAUCUCGCUGAAUUUUUUGGGCAUCAUCCAUCGUCGAGAGUCUCGUGAACGACGCGGAUCGCAGGGUAAAUUCAGUAGUCGGGGAUAAGCUCUCGAUGUGAAUAGAGAACGAGCCGCCGCGGGUAUUAAGGGAAGCGAAAGUAUGUGCAUCCAUUGUCGAAACACGAUUCAUUUAUGGUGAUAAUAUGUCAAAGUCAAACAUAAGGAAAAUAACAGUUGACCCUACGAAAUGUAAUAUUGAUUCUCGGCGUCCAAGUGUUUUUGAAAGGUUGGGCACUAAACCGGCGGUCGCCACAGCCGCUCAAAACGCUACUGAUUUCUGCAGAAACUGGGCAGUCACUGGUAAUUGUUCAUACGGCAAGAGCUGCAAAUAUGCGAACACACAUACACUGACAAGUCCUUCCAAGCGAGUGAAGAAGGAUAAUGCACCUACAAAUCCUCCUUUGCUUAUCGAGGACCCAUUCAAGCGACUCACAUCUAAAAUUGUAAAGACCACAUCUCACAGUCCAGACUUGAACUUGGAAGAGUGGAACCAAACGGAUUUGGAGUACGAGGACGAAAAAGUACUUGAAAGACGGAGACAGCUCUUGCAGAGGGAGUUGGAAAUACAGAUGAAGAAAGACAAGGAGGUGCAUGGCAAGGAAAAAAUAAAGUAUAAAAAAAAGGCAAUGAGCAGUUCUUCCAGUUCGCGAAGUUCUAGUUCAUCCAGUAGCAGUACUAGUUCCAGUAGCGACGAUUCGUCCUCAAGUUCAACAUCUGAUUCUCGCAAGAAAGUCAAGAAAUUCAAGAAAACAAAGCAUAGUGCCUCGCCUGAAUUCGAUGAUGACAAAGAGAGAAAGAAAAAAUUAAAGUUAAAGCGUUUAGGAGCUAAUAUCGAAAAGUUGCCACCAAAAAAGAAACGCAAACUCGUCGAGUCCCCAAAGAAAGAUAGCCCUCCAAAAUCCAUAAAGAAACCAAACACUUUGCUUGUAGCUCAUAAACAUAUUUCUACACCUAGAGCCAAGUCACCCGCAGUGCCAGCAAGCGUCUCGUCGUCUCACGGUGGCGCCCAAGUGCCAACCAGUAAGGCCAAAGAGCGAACGAGAAGUGCUUCGCCGCGCUCAAAGCUGCGCGAGUCCGAAAAGGAUCGGCAUCACAAGAAAUUGCGCGAGUCCGAUGAAAUGGUCAAGGAGAUGCAGGCCCAGAAGAAGGCCGCCGCCGAGCGGAUAGAACGCUCGGAUAGGCUCGAUCGAGCGGGCAAGGACGUGGACAAGGGCAAGCUGCGUCCCCCCGAUGACAAGGGCAAGAGUGUAGAUCGCUCUAAGCCAAGAUCCAAGGACCGGGAACGCAGGUCCAGGACGCCACCAAUCGACAGAUUGAAGGGGCCCUAUUCGUCGGCCAAGGACAGCAACUCUUUGUCGGCCAAGUCGUCGUCCAAGCGCAGCCGCACUCCCCCGGACAAGUCGUCGUCGUCGUCGUCGCGCGCCAGAAACGAGUCGUCACGCCCGCAGGACAAGCAGCUGAGUCGCUCGCGCGAGCCCCACAAGCACGCGGAGCGCAGCAAGGACCGGGACGACGGCCGUGGCAAGCUCGACCGGCCCAAGUCGCUGAGCCAAGAUGAGCAGCAGAGAAAGGCCCGUGAGCUGGAGGACAAGCGCGCCAAGGACCGCCGAGAUAAGGAGCACAACGAUCGGGACUCUCGGAGCCACUCAAGCCUCGGCGCUCGGGACAAGCAGCGCGAUAGACGGCCCGAACGAGAGCGGGAGAGAGACCGCGACCGGGGGGAUAGGGACAGAGACAGGGAUAGAGAUCGAGACGGUGGCAAGCGGGAACGGGAAAGGGAGCGUGAACCUCUGGACAAGGCGACGCGCUACAAGGAUCGACCCAAAGAGCUAGGUCUGGAAAAGGGCUCGCGAGACCGAGACCGCGAGCGCCGACCCGAGCCCAAGUCCGGCGGGUCCUCGCAGCGCGGCUUCGAGGGACGCGAGCGCGACAAGUCUAGCUCCGGUCGCGAUCACCAACUGUACCGGCACAGAUACGCCAGCGGCCGGUUCGCCGACGAGCGAGCUAAGGAGCCGAUCAAGCUGGACAGAAGCAGAGAAAGCCCGAGGCGUGAGUUCGAGCGAGGCUAUGGAAGACUAGCACCGCCGCCUCCUCCACCACCACCGCCACCUCCGCCACCGCCACCACCGCCUCCGGAGCACUGGGACGAGCAGGAGGAGCCACCGGCCCACCUGGAUUAUCGCGACCAUCAUGGACACGAAGACGAGCGGAGGAAGUCUUCACUCGAGUCGCGCCGCUACAAUAGUCCCUUUGCAGAACGAGGACGAGCUGCCAGGGGCAGUGAUGAUAGGUCUUCAUCGAGAUAUGGCUUGUCGACGGAAAGACCUUUCCAGGAGCUACAUCAUCCUCUGUAUGCUGGCGAUAAGCUGAGACCUGCGCGGGACGAAGCGAACAGCGACAACUGGGACGUGCACCACGAUGGGCUCGAGCGUGAGCGUCCUUACGCGGCGGCAAACGACUGGGAGGAUCGCGAGUGGCGCGGUCGAGCUAUGUGGGACCGGGAAAGUCUUCCCCGUUCCGAGGCCCACGAUGAAGAGUGGUCCUCGAGGUAUGACAAUCCCGAUUGGAAAGUUGGAGAGCCUAGGAAAUGGGAUAAUCAGUCGCUUCAUUUGCGCUCCUCUUACCGAAACGAUCGUAUUAAAGAGCUCGAACUGACGGAUUCAGCGCAUUGUAAACGAAGGCCAUUUGUAACUCCUGAUAGGCGCGAAGAGCUUCCAAGUCAUGCUGCGAAACAGGCACUGCACAAUAGCAUGAAAGACGAACCGAUUAACAAGAAAUUGAUGGAACUUGCCGAAGGCAGGCCGCGUAGAAGCAGAGAAAAAUCCGCCGAUAGCUUCCACAAGAAAAUGUUACCCAAGGAGAAACCUGAAGUGAAGGAGCCACCGCCUCCGGAACCAAAACGAUUCUGCCUGGACGAACCACUGCCUACUCUGCACACGGAGAGUGACCUUAGUGACAUUAGUGACGAUCCUGAUGACAUACUCAACAUGGAGGAAGAAAUAACGACUGACAUAAAGUGCCCACUCAAAAAGUCUCUGGACAAUGAUCGCGAUUCCGCGUCUGUAAAGAGUCAAGAACUUUCUCAUCCAUCACCAAAGCCACCAUUGGACGAUGGCGUUUUCUCGAAAGACAAGGAUACUGCCGAAGCAUAUAGCAAUAAGAAUAAUAUAGAAGAGGAAAGUAUGGAAACUAUGGACUUUGAAGAAAUUUCCGACGGCGAGUUGGAAGAGGAUAUCAAGACGAGCUGUAAAGGAUUGGGAGAUGCGCUUGGAGUUGAUUGGGAAAGUCUUGUUAAAGAAUCUCAGCCAAGGCGUCUCGCUAACACUAGUCAUGACAAUGCGCAGGAUCGUUGGCAGUGCAAGGCGGUAUUUCAACGCAUUGGUAUUUCGGUUAAAGCUGCGGGUCACGAGUUGGUUGAAAAACUCUUGAACAAAUACACUGAUAACGAGUCGAAUAAGUUACUUCUAAACAAUGUGGCAUUUGUACAUACAGCACUAGCUAGGAAACAGCUCUUGCCAAAUUCAUCAUACAAAUUAAUAAGCAACGAUGACUUGCUGUACAGAACUAAAAGUGAAGUGGAUGUGGAUGACAUAGAGAAUCUCGUACCUUGCACGAGUUUAUAUGAACAAGCUAAAAUGCUUCUUCAACAGACAGCAUAACGUGUGAAUGAGUGUGACUGAACAGUUUGUUAAAGUGUGUUGGAAAGAUUUCCAAUUUUGAAAAAUAUUGUACAUGAUAUAAACUCUAUGAUCUCACGAUAAUCGUGCGGAGCUACGAUAUCGCUCUUCAGGAUUUUCAUGGCUUCUAGUAGGACAUUUUCAUUUGCAGAUGAGUCAAUCUAAAUCAAGAUGUCAGAAAGUUUUAGUAACUUAAUUCUAAUCUUGAAUAUAAUAGUCAUAUUACCUGAUUUUUUAGCAACGUACAAACAUUGCUUUCUUUAGACGAUAUUCGUUUGACUUUCUCUGCAUUGGCGCAGUACAGUUCAUACAAAAUUAAUCCUAAAAAUUAAAUAAUUUCAAGUACCACUGUUAA